rnacentral:rRNA from 1 species
UGAGAGAAACUCGGUGCUAGACUCCUACGGGAGGCCGCAGUAGGAUCUCGGCCAUGACGAGUUCGACCGAGGCAUCGUCGCGUGAGUGAGGAGUUUCGAUCGUAAACUCUGAUUGUUAGAGAAGCAUCAGGAUCGAGAGUAAAAUGUUCAUCCCUGACGGUAUUCUACAGAAAGCCACGGCUACUACGUGCCAGCAGCCGCGGUAAUACGUAGGUGGCAAGCGUUGUCCGGAUUUAUUGGGCGUAAAGCGAGCGCAGGCGGUUUCUUAAGUCUGAUGUGAAAGCCCCCGGCUCAACCCGGGGAGGGUCAUUGGAAACUGGGAGACUUGAGUGCAGAAGAGGAGAGUGGAAUUCCAUGUGUAGCGGUGAAAUGCGUAGAUAUAUGGAGGAACACCAGUGGCGAAGGCGGCUCUCUGGUCUGUAACUGACGCUGAGGCUCGAAAGCGUGGGAGCGAACAGGAUUAGAUACCCUGGUAGUCCACGCCGUAAACGAUGAGUGCUAAGUGUUGGAGGGUUUCCGCCCUUCAGUGCUGCAGCAAACGCAUUAAGCACUCCGCCUGGGGAGUACGACCGCAAGGUUGAAACUCAAAGGAAUUGACGGGGGCCCGCACAAGCGGUGGAGCAUGUGGUUUAAUUCGAAGCAACGCGAAGAACCUUACCAGGUCUUGACAUCCUUUGACCACUCUAGAGAUAGAGCUUCCCCUUCGGGGGCAAAGUGACAGGUGGUGCAUGGUUGUCGUCAGCUCGUGUCGUGAGAUGUUGGGUUAAGUCCCGCAACGAGCGCAACCCUUAUUGUUAGUUGCCAUCAUUUAGUUGGGCACUCUAGCGAGACUGCCGGUGACAAACCGGAGGAAGGUGGGGAUGACGUCAAAUCAUCAUGCCCCUUAUGACCUGGGCUACACACGUGCUACAAUGGGAAGUACAACGAGUUGCGAAGUCGCGAGGCUAAGCUAAUCUCUUAAAGCUUCUCUCAGUUCGGAUUGUAGGCUGCAACUCGCCUACAUGAAGCCGGAAUCGCUAGUAAUCGCGGAUCAGCACGCCGCGGUGAAUACGUUCCCGGGCCUUGUACACACCGCCCGUCACACCACGAGAGUUUGUAACACCCGAAGUCGGUGAGGUAACCUUUUGGAGCCAGCCGCCUAAGGUGGGAUAGAUGAUUGGGGUGAAGUCGUAACAAGGUAGCC